rnacentral:lncRNA from 1 species
GAUUAUGAUGUAGUAUGAUAGGAUGGUAUCCUCCUUUGAAUGAUUCAAGUGGCCUUACUUGGCGCAUGUUUACGCAUGUAGUUGAAACAAAAUCAACAUAGCAUCUCUGAUAUUCAUGUUUAUGGUGACUUGUAUCCUACUCAUGCUUGCACUCUAAUGUUUGUUAGUUUCAAUGCGUAUUGAUGACUGUUGUCGCUCUCUAGUUGGUCACUUCCCAGUCUUUUGCUAGCCUUCACUUGUACUAAGCGGGAUUACUUCUUGUACAUCCACUUCCAUAAACCCAAUGUUGUUCCAUAUGAGUCCACCAUACCUACCUAUACGCGGUAUCUACCUGCCGUUCCAAGUAAAUUUGCAUGUGCCACUCUCUAAACCUUCAAGAAAUAAUCUGUUUUGCAUGCCCGAACCGCUCAUGUGCUGACAAGGGGCGGUCAGUAUCUUCCAUGCUAGGCGUGUUAUCCUCGAUACAUGUUUAUUCACUAUCACUCAUGAGAAACGGGCCGGUAAUUGGAAUGCCCAGUUCCAUGCUCAAAUCGAAAAGAUAAUUGCAAACAAAACUCCCCCUGGAUUGUUGUUGGUAUGGACGACACCCGAGUAUUCGGCUAGUCGUGGAGUGUGAUUGAUCG